GUUUUAAAUGUUCUUAAGCCUGAGCCUUUGCUUCGCUAGGAGCUGGAGUGAGUAAUCAAUCUUCAGUAAUUGAAGCAGGAAGUCGAAGAUUAGAGAAUCAGGCCACGGGAGGUUCAACAGGACAACAGGGUCUUAGCGACAACCUUUCAGCUGAAGAACUUAGAAAGAGGAGACAGGCCUACUUUGAAAGACAGCAGCAGCAUCAAGCUCAGCAGCACAUUCCGGACACAAGAUCAACAGGUGACUCAGGAUCUGUAACCACUGACUCGGCUAAGGAUCAACAACCAAAACAGAGCCAGUGAAGUUGCGACAGGUAUAAGUCUGUUUGUUUACCAGCUGCCUGGACUUGCACACCCCCGGGGGGUAGCUCCGCUCCUUCCUCUAACCUUUUGCACGUGCGAACAUAAGGACAGUCCAAAGGCUGACACGUUUUCCCCGUUAGUUCGCUACAGAGGCUACAGAGAAGAGACUGCAAAGUAAAGGCAUCAGCCAGUGUAAUCUGACUAGGUUUAGGGUACUAAAGCUGGGUAAAGGGUGACCACAUGACUGGAGACACAGUUAAUCCAAGUUUUGAAUUGCUUUUGUAACACGGCGCCUUCUGUUUUUAAUUGUCCUUCUUUAGUCUUGUAUUUUUUUCUGGAAUUCUCUGGAAAGGAUAGCAUUUAAAUACAGCGUUCAAAGAUAUUUAGGCUGUAAAAGCAAAAUGAGACCAAUGUUUAAACCUUAGUUACAAGCUUUGUUGGAUAACAACAGGGCCCCAGGAAGAUCUUCAUAGUGGAUUUAGUUGUGAACAACAUUAAAAUGUGGUUUCAGUGUC